UAGGGAGACCUAAUCCAUUUAGAAAUCGAAAACAAUGAAAAUUGUCAAUAGAAACUAAAUUGGUCUAACCUAGGUCGUUCGAGAUUGGUAGACAUCUUUCAAAGUGUUAUUCGGCUUCGUUCAAAACCAUAUAUAAUAAAUGGAAAAAGACAGCACCUAAUUGUCAAAGUUAGACUGCUGGAUGAAGUUCCAGCCAGAACCUUGAAAACUGCAUAAGAGAACAAGAAAAAGCAGGCAGACACAGACAUUUAGAUGGAUGUGGAAGCAAAAGAAAUUGU
rnacentral:misc_RNA from 1 species